GACGUAGGGGGCGAGCGUUAUUCGGAAUUAUUGGGCGUAAAGCGCUCGUAGGCGGGACUGGAAGUCCGUGUUGAAAGACCUCGGCUCAACUGAGGGACCGGCUCGGAUACUCUAGUUCUUGAGGCAAUCAGAGGGUGAUGGAAUUCCCGGUGUAGCGGUGAAAUGCGCAGAUAUCAGGAAGAACACCCGUGGCUAAGGCGGCUCUCUAGUACGGUACUGACGCUGAGACGCGAAAGCGUGGGGAGCGAACAGG
rnacentral:rRNA from 1 species